rnacentral:rRNA from 1 species
AGUGAACGCUGGCGGUAGGCCUAACACAUGCAAGUCGAACGGCAGCACAGUAAGAGCUUGCUCUUACGGGUGGCGAGUGGCGGACGGGUGAGGAAUACAUCGGAAUCUACUUUUUCGUGGGGGAUAACGUAGGGAAACUUACGCUAAUACCGCAUACGACCUACGGGUGAAAGCAGGGGAUCUUCGGACCUUGCGCGAUUGAAUGAGCCGAUGUCGGAUUAGCUAGUUGGCGGGGUAAAGGCCCACCAAGGCGACGAUCCGUAGCUGGUCUGAGAGGAUGAUCGGCAAAAUUGAAAUUGGGACCGGUCCAAACCCCUAAGGGGGGGCGGCGUGGGGAAUAUUGGAACAAGGGGGGAAGGCUGAACCAGGCAUACCGCGUGGGUGAAAGAGGGCUUCGGGUUGGUAAGCCCUUUUGUUGGGAAAGAAAAGCAGCAGGUUAAUACCCCGCUGUUCUGACGGUACCCAAAGAAUAAGCACCGGCUAACUUCGUG